rnacentral:rRNA from 1 species
GAUGAACGCUGGCGGCGUGCCUAAUACAUGCAAGUCGAGCGAACAGAUGAGGAGCUUGCUCCUCUGACGUUAGCGGCGGACGGGUGAGUAACACGUGGAUAACCUACCUAUAAGACUGGGAUAACUUCGGGAAACCGGAGCUAAUACCGGAUAAUAUAUUGAACCGCAUGGUUCAAUAGUGAAAGACGGUUUUGCUGUCACUUAUAGAUGGAUCCGCGCCGCAUUAGCUAGUUGGUAAGGUAACGGCUUACCAAGGCAACGAUGCGUAGCCGACCUGAGAGGUGAAUCGGCCAACCUGAACUGGAGCAACGGCCCAGCCCCCUAGGGGGGGCGGAAGGGGGAAUUUUCCCCAAAGGGGGAAAGCCCUAACGGGCCAAGCCCCGGGGGUGAAGAAGGUCUUUGGGUUGUUAAACCCUUUUAAUUGGGAAAAAAAAAAUGGGAAAGAAACCAUGCCGUUUUGAAGGGUACCUAAACAAAAAGCCACGCUUAACUCCUG